AUGGGGGAGCUCAUGAAUGCCCUCACCAAGUACGCAGAGUCUGAUUCCACUAAAGACCCUGGUGCAGACGGGGCUCCAAAAGGCAAGGGGAAAAAGGGCAACGACGGUAAGGGCCACCAGCAAGGUAGUGGUGGCAACGGUGGAAAAUGCAAGAACUCGGAAGGCGGGUCAGACCUUGUCACAAACACCAACGCAGGGUCCAAAUAUCCGAAAAGGCCCGACGCUAGGAAGAAUUUCAAACCCAAGAAUUCCGACGAAGCCCUAAAGGGGCCAUGUCCAAAACAUAGCCUCCCUAAUAAGCCGGCCACCCACUCUUGGGAGGAUUGCAGCAUCAUGAGAGCCUUUUCGCAGCGGUUCCAGAACCACCAAGGAGGUGGUGGCGGCGACCCAGGAUCAUCCGGUGGCGGGUCAGCUGGCGGAUACCACCAACCGCAUUUCCAAGGGGCCGGCGGCUCGGGCGGAAGUUACCAGGGACACAGAGGAAAUAGUCAACAAAACCAACAACAAGGCAAUCAGACUGGUUACCAGAGUAACCCCAAACAACUGAACAGCGGCCAGUACCAUGUGUUUGCUACCAACACAGACAAAAGAGAUCGCAAGCUUAAGAAAUGCCAGAUCAACAUGGUUGAGCCGGCAGUACCGCAGUACCUGAGAUGGUCAGAGCACCCAAUAACCGGGAGUCGGGAGGAUCACCCGCCUCGGGUCAAAAAUCCGGGUCAUCUGGCCUUAGUGGUGGUGCCUCAAGUUGGGGGCUAUUCUCUCACCAAGGUGCUCAUGGACGGGGGGAGUAGCAUUAAUAUUCUCUACUACGACACUCUUCGGCACAUGGGCUUGUCUGAGAAAGACCUCUCCCCAUCCACUACCAUUUUCGUGGAAUCGUCCCUGGCAAGUCAGCCUAUCCAAUCGGUCGGGUCAAGUUGGACGAGGAAUUUGGGUCAGACACCAAUUACACAUGUGAGUCUUUGUCCUUCGAGGUGGUCAAGACUAAGAGUCCAUACCACGCCCUCUUUGGACGGCCGGCCAACGCCAAGUUCAUGGCUCGGCCCUGCUAUGUCUACCUCAAGCUGA
rnacentral:rRNA from 1 species